GUCGCAGUGAGCCGAUAACGCACAGAAAUUAAUAUCUAAUUUUAAAGCAUUUGAUAUUUGCCCAUCCAUUCACAUCGAACAGCGAUUUUUUUGUUGUUAUACUAUAGUUAUUAGCGGACACAUAUGUAUGUAUGUAUAUCUCGGGAGCACGGUCCUUACGCCUUUCCUCGUCGUGCCUUCGCCACCAAAAACCUGUUUGGACGAAAAAGAACCAUUCGUGUGAACUCAGUCUCAGCAGCUGGAGAAGAGACUUCUUCAUAAAAAACAAUUCACGACAUAUGGCGGUUGGAAGUAAAAUUGGUCAUCGUAGUGGAUCUCACUUUCAUUCACUCUUUUCAACGUUAUAUAAUUCAUAUUAUUUGCAAAUUCAAUUCAUGACGUAUGUCCAUAUUAUUUGGGAUUUUUCAUAACUUAAAGAGAGAUUAAAUUACUCAUGAUGUUUCAUAGAAAUGCAGAAAUUAUCAAUAGUCGAUAUGUAAGUAUGUAUGUACAUACAUAUGAUUAUGUUGUCUUUCUUAUUCAUGUAUUAUAACCAAUGAUAAAUAAAAUAAGAAAAAUCGUUAACUUCGGCUGCACCGAAGCUAAUAUACAUAAGUACAUACUUAUGUACCUUUCACAGGUGCAUUUCUUUUAGUAACUACAUAUGUACAUAUGUGUUCAGUUUGUAUGGAAGCUACAUACAUACAUACAUAUAUGCUUUAGUUAACCGAUCUGAACAAUUUCUUUGGAGAUUAUAUUGGGUUGUCAAAAAAGUCUUGCGGUAUUUUCGCUAGUUGGCGCGGAAAGCGCGUAGUUCUAGUUUUAUUCGUCGCAUCGGGUCAUGCUAUACCUUCUUGGAAAGCUCAUUUCACGCGCUAACACGUGUUUGAUUGAUUGUCGUUUCUUUUAAGUCGUUCGUGAGUUAUAGCGUCGCAAACAUGGAGCAAAAUAAAGAGAAAAUACGGCAUAUUUUACAGUACUAAUACGAUAAAGGCAAAAAUGCAUCUCAAGCCACCAAUAAAAAUUGUGCAGUUUACGGACCCGAUACAGUUUCCAUUUCCACCGCACAACGAUGGUUUCAACGUUUUCGUUCUGGUGUAGAGGUGGUCGAAGAUGCGCCACGCUCCGGAAGGCCUGUCGUCGAAAAUUGCGAUAAAAUCGCUGAAUUGGUCGAAAGAGACCGGCAUAAUAGCAGCCGUAGCGUCGGUCAAGAGCUGGGCAUGAGUCAUCAAAAAUUAAUUUCAAUUUCAAUAAAAAAAAAAAUCAAUAAAAAUACCGCGAGACUGUUUUGACAACCCAUUAUUAUUACCUUAAGCAGUAAUCGAUACCAAAUUUUGUGAAGACAUACAAAUGUAUCGUCAAAUGAGAAAGUUUCCGAUGCAAGCAUUUUAUUCCGAUCAUUCAGUUUGAAUGGCAGCUAAAUACUAUAGAUAACCGAUCUGAACAAUUUCUUCGGAGAUUACAUUGUUGCUUUAAAAAAUAAUCUUUACCAAAUUUUGUGAAUAUAUCUUGUCAAAUGUGAAAGUUUUCCAUACAAGAACUUGUUUCCGAUCGUUCAGUUUGUACGUCAGCUAUACGUUAUAGUGGUCCUAUAUCGGCAGUUUCGACAAAUGAGCAGCUUCUUGAAGAGAAAAUGACGUUUUCAAAAUUUUAAAACGAUAUUUUAGAAACUGAGGGGCUAGUUCGUAUAUAUACAGACGGACAGAGGGACAUGGGUAAAUCGACUCAGCUCAUACUGAUUAUUUAUAUAAGUACUUAUACUUUACAAGAUCUCUGAAGUCUCCUUCUAGAUGUUACAAACUUUGUGUGAGUCAAACAAAAUAUGACAUAAUUUCACCAUUUUUAGUAAACAGGCUAUUCGUAAAAGGCUUUACGGUUUUUAGCUGAAGAAGGCUAUCAGCAUGGAGUGGAUAAAGACUUCGAUAUUCCAAUGGCUCAGUCAACAUUUUAUUGCAUCUUAAAAGAAGUAUUGGGAUUGCUUCAGUCCCAUUUGUGCCCUCAGUGGAUAAACCUCGAGUUAAGUAACGUUGAAAAAAGUGAAGCGAAAAAGUUUUUUUUUCAGAAAUACAGAUUUCCAGGCGCGAU